rnacentral:rRNA from 1 species
CCGUAGCCCAAGAGAUCGGGAUAACACCUGGAAACAGAUGCUAAUACCGGAUAACAACAGAUGAUGCCUAUCAACUGUUUAAAAGAUGGUUCUGCUAUCACUCUUGGAUGGACCUGCGGUGCAUUAGCUAGUUGGUAGGGUAACGGCCUACCAAGGCGAUGAUGCAUAGCCGAGUUGAGAGACUGAUCGGCCACAUUGGGACUGAGGCACGGCCCAAACUCCUACGGGAGGCAGCAGCC